GUUGGAAACGACUGCUAAUACCCCAUAUGCUUUCGAGUAAAAUGAUUUUUCGCCUAAGGAAGAGCUCGCGGCUGAUUAGCUAGUUGGUAAGGUAAAGGCUUACCAAGGCGACGAUCAGUAUCUGGUUUGAGAGGACGAUCAGACACACUGGAACUGAGACACGGUCCAGACUCCUACGGGAGGCAGCAGUGGGGAAUUUUCCGCAAUGGGCGAAAGCCUGACGGAGCAAUACCGCGUGAGGGAUGACGGCCUGUGGGUUGUAAACCUCUUUUUUCAGGGAGGAAGUUCUGACGUGUACCUGAAGAAUAAGCAUC
rnacentral:rRNA from 1 species